rnacentral:rRNA from 1 species
GACGGGACCGCACAAGCGGUGGAUGAUGUGGUUAAUUCGAUGCAACGCGAAAACCUUACCCACCUUUGACAUGGCAGGAAUCCCGAAGAGAUUUGGGAGUGCUCGAAAGAGAACCUGCACACAGGUGCUGCAUGGCUGUCGUCAGCUCGUGUCGUGAGAUGUUGGGUUAAGUCCCGCAACGAGCGCAACCCUUGCCAUUAGUUGCUACGAAAGGGCACUCUAAUGAGACUGCCGGUGACAAACCGGAGGAAGGUGGGGAUGACGUCAAGUCCUCAUGGCCCUUAUAGGUGGGGCUACACACGUCAUACAAUGGCUGGUACAAAGGGUUGCCAACCCGCGAGGGGGAGCCAAUCCCAUAAAGCCAGUCGUAGUCCGGAUCGCAGUCUGCAACUCGACUGCGUGAAGUCGGAAUCGCUAGUAAUCGUGGAUCAGCAUGUCACGGUGAAUACGUUCCCGGGUCCU